GGCUGGGCGACUGCACUUACCCCGGAGGCCCGGCUGGCGGGGGUGUCCGCUUGCGCACCCACCGGGCACCCGCGGCGGAGGCGGCAGCAGGAGGAGGAGGAUCCGCUAAGCGGCGCCUCCCUCCUAGCCCGCAGCGCGCACUCGGUUCCUUCGGGGAGCCCCCGGCAGAACAGCAAAGAGGGGAGGCGAGGCAGCGACACAAGCAACAGCUGUUGUGCGGGGUUGGGCUCAAUCCGGCUCUCGGGGCCCUGGUACAGCCAGGCAGGAUUGGGAAGAAGGUUAGGCGAAGUGGGGUGCAAAGGGCGGGGCAGCGCCCGAGGCGCCAAAGGAUGCCACCGCGUGGAUGCCGCUGUCCCGGCUAAAGCCUCGGGACCCUCUUCCACGAUCGCGGGCGCUGCAACCGCGGGCGCACGGGCCUCGCCUCGCUCCCCUGCCCGCUGCUGGUGCCCUCCGUGAGCCCCGCUUUGUGCUCCCCGCAGCCGGCGUGCACCUGGUCCUGACUGAUAUAUCCCAGUGAGUUUUCCAAACAAAGAAGAGCAAUUAUUGGCCUCAAUGAAAAAGCCCAGGCAGUGCUUAUCAGCAGACGUGGCCUGAGCCAAACCCAGGAUCCUAUUUCCAAGAACACCUGUCGCUUCAUGGAUCAAAUGUAAGAGAUACGCUUUGGGAAUCCCUUCUGUUCUAAUAGCACCGUGUCUGUCAGUCGAAUUCUGUCCGCAUUCCUGGCGUGCGUUUUCCUUGGGCUGCCCGUCUAGUCGCCAAGUGGCUAAUGGUCUCAUCGCCAAGUGGCUAAUCGUCUCUUUGCUGCACGUUAUUGUCUUGCAAAUCUUUAAAAAUAUUUAUUUAACUUUCUUUUUGUUUCUGAACAGGGUGUGGAUAAAUGACAAAAAUAUGCUUCAGUUAUCACUUAAAUAUCUCUGCCGGCUUUAGCAAAGAAACUCUGGGAAAUAGUAAUCCAUGAAGGAGUCA